UACAGAGGGUGCAAGCGUUGUCCGGAAUCACCGGGCGUAAAGGGCGCGUAGGCGGCCUGAUAAGUCGGGGGUGAAAUUCUGCGGCUUAACCGCAGGACGGCCUUCGAGACUGUCGGGCUUGAGCACGGUAGAGGCUGGUGGAAUUCCCGGUGUAGCGGUGGAAUGCGUAGAGAUCGGGAAGAACAUCGGUGGCGAAGGCGGCCAGCUGGGCCGUUGCUGACGCUGAGGCGCGACAGCGUGGGGAGCAAACAGG
rnacentral:rRNA from 1 species